UACGUAGGGGGCAAGCGUUGUCCGGAUUCAUUGGGCGUAAAGAGCGUGUAGGCGGCCAGGUAGGUCGGUUGUGAAAACUGGAGGCUCAACCUUCAGAGGUCGACCGAAACCAUCUGGCUAGAGUCCGGGAGAGGAGAGUGGAAUUCCUGGUGUAGCGGUGAAAUGCGCAGAUAUCUGGAGGAAUACCGGUGGCGAAGGCGGCAUCCUGGACCGAGAUUGACACUGAUGAGCGAAAGCCAGGGGAGCAAACGGG
rnacentral:rRNA from 1 species